AUAACGCGUUUAACUGACAGCACUACUUUGGACGUUUUUAAAUGUUGUCAUUGAACAUAAUGCCUGAUUUAGCAGAAUGUUCCAGUAUCAACACUCUGUCUGGUGACAGGAAAGGGAAAUAUGCACAUCAAUUCCAAAUGUUCCUAAAAAGGAGCUGUUAAAAAUGUUAAGAAUAAACAAUCAGACACUGACCAAGUACUCUUAGCUCUCUUUGAGUGCUCCUUUCACAUUUCAAUAUGUGGGUGUUCCUGUCAUGGUAUAGAUCAAUCUUCUGUUUUAUAACACUGAUUUUUCACAUCCCUUUUUUGCAGAUAUCCUUGGACCUGCCACAAUCAUUUGCAUGCUACGUAGAAUGCUGCAAUGACAGCUUUGAGUUAUGACAGAUAGUAGAGUUGGCAUUCCUGGUAAAGUGACAAUAUUCUGCAGUCCGAGGUGUAAUGGAAUAUCCGCAAUCAGAUCCCUUUGAUGCAUCCACAAGGCCUGUAGCCACGGAGACAGGAGGAAGAGCACCUUAAAAAUGAAUGAACUUGAAAAUGAGAAGGUUAACAUGAUUUAUGCUGAAACAUAACGGGGGGAAAGCUCAUUGAAAUGAUGAGGAGCGCCCUUGGAAUUCAUUUGUUCAGAGCAACGUUCGGCAGGGUGGAAUGCCAUUCAUCUUCAUUGUUCAUCAUCUGUCUAUUGUCUUCCCGUCUAUGAAUGACAGGAGAGCCACCACCAUUUGUACGCUUAGAAUUUGACUUGCAAUAUCGUUGGCUGAUACACAUGUAGCAAUAUUCUGUCAAAUAGAAUCUCAGGACGUCUUUUGGCAGUAUCAUGGUUGAGAUAUCAUACCUUCAGCUGGAGAGCCACUGCUGAAGGGAUAAUUUUUGACCAUUGGUAAUGUGGAAAUGGGCAAUUUCAACAUCUUACCGACAUGACAUGUCAGCCAGACCAUGUGAAAAUGCAGACAACUGAGUUUAGUUUGUAUGUUUUAGCAUGCAUUGCAUUCAGUUAAUACUUCAGAAAAUACAAUUAAUUGGAUUAUUUGCUUAUAGUCACAUAGGAAAGAUUUGCUGAACAAGCAUGUACUUUUGGAACAUCGCCUUGUUCCACACUCAUACAUUUAUACAUAUUUACUCAUGGGAGAUGACCUGUACAACCACAGGCUUUUACCCUUCACUGAGCAUUGGUUCAGAGCAACAGUAAGUGCUUUGUUUUAAAAAGGUACCUUGUACCUAGGUGAUCAUUAGUGCCCGAAGCCUUCACAGCAUCUCGAACUACAAUGACAUUUGGUUAGUAGGCUCAGGAUGUAGUCAUCAGUCUACAUUUCAGUUUAGAGGUCUAUUCAUUCAAUACAUUAUCAUAUAACUUAUUUUUUCCCCUGGCACAUCUUCUAUAAAAAAAUCCUUAGGCAAUAAUUAUAGUUUGCUGCAAUCAAAAGACCAAUCAAAGUGAUUUCCAUUGCUCCUGAAUGGCAGAAAAGCCAACAAAAUACAUAGAAACCUUAUUAAUGUAACUAUAAACAAUUUUAAACAAUUAUAGAAAAACAAAUCACUGUAGGGUGUUAUGACAUUCAGACACCAAUUAUAGAGGGGUUGCUAUUUGUUUUCAAAUUUACAAAGGACCAUGUAAAUAAUAAGAGAUGACAUGUUACACAGAAACAAAAGUUCAAAAUGGUAAGCUUGUUUCCUGAUGUGUGGGUAAACUGAAGGUACAUGAAUGUAUAAAUGUUAAAUGCCUAUAUGGCAUAAAGGCCUGUGUGUCAGUAUGCAUCUGAAUGUUUGACAGAAACAUUUGUUUGACUUUGCAUCGGACGAGUAACCUUGUCCUUAGUCCCAAGCUAGAGCCCAUGCUUCAUCUGGCAUCCAGUGAAACAAGAUAGUUCUUGUAUUGCAUGCUCAACACUUUAGGCCCAUUGGCAAGUUGCCAUUCUCUCAAAUCAACCAAUUAAUGAACCUGUCAAUCACACAUCACUUGAAUUGCCCAAGGGAGCACUGAAUAGAAAAUUCAGGGAUACAGUAGGCUUCUCUAGAUAGCAAUUGAAUCCAGAUUAAGGUAGCUUUAACUAGUUUAAGUGGGAUGCUUUGACCGAACAACACAGUGGUAGCCUGUGUGUGCCAGCUGGGCAGAGAGGAACAGGCAACCCAGUCUGUAAUCCUCCUACCAAUCCAUUGCUAUCUCUGCAAGUGCAGUGAAUUAGCCGGGCUUGGCUGGAUGUGCAUAUUCAGUACCAGUCACUACAUCAACAAGUGCCUCUUUGUUGACAUCUGCACUUAAUCCUCUACCGUUGUUUAUUAUGAACAAAGUGGUUUUUGAUAGUGACUGCUUCUCAAGGCACAGACACGGAAAGUAAAAUAACUGAACUAUCAAGAGAGAAAGGAUUAUAAAAAAGAGAUCUGGCAAGAGUGAAAGACAUUGUUUGAUGAAUUAUUUGUAUUAUUUGAAUUUUUGUUGAAUAAUGCAUUGCGUUGUUUUCUACGUUAUCAGCGCCAGCAAUCUUUGCAUUUUACAAAGAAUCUGAGUGACAGGAGGCGAGCUGUGGAACUUUAACAGACUUUGAUAUCCCACUCAUGGUUACAGUUCUGCUGACUUCCCUAUUGCUCUGAAGUCAUUUUAUCACUUAUUUACUUCCUUAGAUAUUUUUUCCCUGAGCUGAGAGCCCAUUUUCCUUGCACUCAAUACGUCUUUUCCAGUUUCAGCAUUGCGAUGCCACUGGCACGUGGAAUGGCCUAGGAUACCAUGCAAUUGGCUCAAUAACACAAAAAUGGGACAAUAAAGCUGCAGACUCUGGUUUUAUUGUCAAUGCAUUUGGUACAGAGAAUGUGUAACAUAAUUCUUUUUGACUCAUUAGAUAACAGAUAAGGGUGAUAAUGUGUAUCCCAUUUCUGCAGUAGUCUGGUUGCGGUGCUAAAUUAAAGAUUUGUCUUUACCUUGUCAUGUGUUCAGGGUGAAACCAAGUUCAUGUAGUUAAGGAUAUACAAGGAGCCAAACAUAUGGUUUUAAAGAGCAUUCACAGCUAAAGAAAAAUACUGACAUUGUUGCAAUUAAAGGGUGGCAUCUAAAAAAAGAAAUGUAUUUUUUGAGAUUACUGGGAUUUCUUUUUUUGGAAACAUGGACAAAAACGUGUGUGAAUUUAUUAACUUAAACUAUGUACUUUUUACACUUACAUUUUACAAAUUUGUAACUCAGAAUCCCAAAGCAAAAAUGACCAUGAUAAGAAUGGCACACUAGCUAAGGGUGUUCUACUAAAGUGUAUAUCACCUCCCUCUUCAGUUGAGAAAUGGUAAUUUUAAUUUUUGCUAGGGAAAGGAAAAAUGUAUUCCAAUACAGUGUAGUGAACCACAGUGAGGUGUUGUGAACGCAACUCCAGUUGUCCAGUAAAACUCCUCCAUUAGCUCCUCCCCCUGCCCAGGUACAGUAUAAAAGACCUCAGCUGGCUCACUUUAGUCUUUUGCUGGUCCCUGGUGGUGGUUGCCUGCUGAAGGUGGUUCACCUGUUGAUGUUCUGCUUUACUUUGUUUUUGUUAGGUUUGCCUUUUCUUUUCUUUAGUUUAAGCUUGUUUACUUUGAAUAUAUUUCUGUUAUUUCACUUGAGGAUAUGUUUUAAGAUUGUUUAGUUACUAAUGGGGUUGUUGGUUUUUGUUAAUUUUUGAUUCUUUGUUUCAGGAGUGUCUUUCUUUUGUUUCCUUGUUUUCUGGUGUGGCCUGGGUGUCUCAGGUGGGCGGCUAGGCCCCAGGUUGGAACCUCGCUCCCAUUGCAUGCAAGUAGGCACUGGGACUCUUUUAGUGCAUGUUUUGUUGUAAUGUUGCCCUCCCAGAUUAGUAGUCUGCCCCCACUGAAGCCCCAGCCCACUGUUUUGAGUUUAUUAUGUAUUUCAUUGGAGUUUUUAGUAUUGUUACAGUUGUCUUCUUUUAAGUUUUUGUUAAUAAAAACAUUUGUUCUGUUUUA